rnacentral:tRNA from 1 species
GCAGGUGUGGUGAAAUUGGUAGACAUGCCAGACUUAGGAUCUAAUGCCGCGAGGUGUGUGAGUUCGAGUCUCGCCGCCUGUA